UGCAAGUCUGGUGCCAGCAGCCGCGGUAAUUCCAGCUCCAAUAGCGUAUAUUAAAGUUGUUGCAGUUAAAAAGCUCGUAGUUGAACCUUGGGCUUGGUUGGCCGGUCCGCCUUUUUGGCGAGUACUGGACCCAACCGAGCCUUUCCUUCUGGCUAACCUUUCGCCCUUGUGGUGUUUGGCGAACCAGGACUUUUACUUUGAAAAAAUUAGAGUGUUCAAAGCAGGCCUUUGCUCGAAUAUAUUAGCAUGGAAUAAUAGAAUAGGACGUUAUGGUUCUAUUUUGUUGGUUUCUAGGACCAUCGUAAUGAUUAAUAGGGACGGUCGGGGGCAUCAGUAUUCAGUUGUCAGAGGUGAAAUUCUUGGAUUUACUGAAGACUAACUACUGCGAAAGCAUUUGCCAAA
rnacentral:rRNA from 1 species